AUUGAGCGCUGGCGGCAGGCCUAACACAUGCAAGUCGAACGGUAACAGAAAGCAGCUUGCUGCUUUGCUGACGAGUGGCGGACGGGUGAGUAAUGUCUGGGAAACUGCCUGAUGGAGGGGGAUAACUACUGGAAACGGUAGCUAAUACCGCAUAACGUCGCAAGACCAAAGAGGGGGACCUUCGGGCCUCUUGCCAUCGGAUGUGCCCAGAUGGGAUUAGCUAGUAGGUGGGGUAACGGCUCACCUAGGCGACGAUCCCUAGCUGGUCUGAGAGGAUGACCAGCCACACUGGAACUGAGACACGGUCCAGACUCCUACGGGAGGCAGCUGUGGGGAAUAUUGCACAAUGGGCGCAAGCCUGAUGCAGCCAUGCCGCGUGUAUGAAGAAGGCCUUCGGGUUGUAAAGUACUUUCAGCGGGGAGGAAGGGAGUAAAGUUAAUACCUUUGCUCAUUGACGUUACCCGCAGAAGAAGCACCGGCUAACUCCGUG
rnacentral:rRNA from 1 species